rnacentral:tRNA from 1 species
GGAGAGAUGGCUCAGAGGUUAAGAGCACUGGCUUCUCUUCCAGAGGUCCUGAGUUCAAUUCCCAGCACCCCA